UCUUUUUUCUAAUGUAAAAUCAAAAUAAGGAGUGUCGGGCUACUCCUCCAGUGGCUGCUUAAAGCAACAAGAUCUCUUUCAGGAUUAGCUCCCCGGCCGGCGAGUGCGGAAGUUUGGAUUAGCCAACGGGAACCUCGCUCGGUGCUUGAGACCUGCCUAGUUGGAAGAGGAAGCCGGGUGGGACCCUCCCAAACCGAAAAAGGAGUCCCGAUUUCGGCUGACGGGGUCAGGCCACUGAAGGAAGUAGAAUGGCUUCCUCUCCCCUCUCCUCCGCCCCCCCGCCUUUUUUUUUUUUUUUUUUUUUAACAUGGGAGGGAAGAAAUUAUCCUUUAGCAAAAGACAAUUUCAAUAAUCUGCCGGGGGUGGGCCGGAGCCUGACUAAUAGAGCUGAGACUUUGGAGACACAGAUCAUUAAAAGAUCACAGCUUUAGACCGAGGAGAUCUUGGAAAUCCUCGAGCCCAAUCCCCUUGUUUUACAAAAAGCAAUCUGUCUGAGAAAAAAAAAAGGUAAAAAGCAGACGCAUUAAGAGCUCCCAAUCCCACAAAGAAAUACAUACAAAUAAAGUCCACAUAGGAUCAACUCGAAAUGUUCAACAGGAAUACUCUGGAAUUAAGAGGGACUGGGAGGUUUAGGUGAGACUUGGAGGCAGAGAGGGAUAGAGAGCGUUCCAGGCCCGUCCUACAGUUGUGAAAGAUGCCGGGAGCAUCCAGUUUGCCCAACCGCAAGGAGGCCAGGGGCUCUGGAUCAAAGGUAAAGUGACUUGGCCGAUGCCAUUCUGGAGUAAGGAUUGAGAAAUCCUAUAUGCUUCACUCCCACUACCCUUCCUUCUCUAGUCUGUCUUCUUUUCUGACCAACCAUGGAUAUUUAGUCCCUCCUAUUUUUCUCAUCUGUAAUUUGAAUCCCAUAAUAGAAUGGAAAGCUGCUUGCUAUAAGAAUUCCCCCCCCCCCUUUGUAUUUGUAUCCCUGGUUUACCAUAGGUGCAUAAUAAUGGCUUAUUGAUGAAUUUAUUCUACAAUUUGAAUCAUUUGACCUGUGGCUUUGCCGAUUAUAAAUUUUGAAUGUGAUUGUAAGGAGUCUAAUUGACCACCCCCCCUCCCAGACACACACUUAAAAUUGAAAAGAAUGCUAAGCAUCUUACUUUAAAUUCAUGAACCAAUGUUUACCCAAAAAAAGCAAGGAAAGUCCAUCAACAAAUAAAAAUUAUGAAGCACUAUGUGCUAGGCAUUGGGGAUACUACGACAGAAAUGAAAGAGCCCCUGGCCCUGGAGCUCUGGGGUGGAAGGGAGGAAAUAUAUAUAGUAUAUAUCAUAUAUAUAUGAGUGCAUUGAGGACAGGGCUGGAACCAGCUACGUUUAUACUUCAAAAAUCCUGACUAUAAAUCAGAACUUGACUUGCUAUUGUGUUGAUUGUCUGGGCACGUGUUAAUAAUGCAAAUUAAACGUAAAAUAAAUACGUAUAUAAACGCUGUAAUCAAUCAAUAAACAUCUAUUAAGUGCUUACUAAGCACUUACUAAGUUAAACACGCAGGAGACAGAAAGAGGCAAAAGACAGUUCCUUCCAGAAGGAAUUUACCAACUAGUGGGACAAGAAAUAUAUAAAUAAAUAUUUACACAUAAACUAUAGGCAGGAGAAAGAGGAAAUAAUGAAUACAGGGAAGACACUAGAGUUGUUUAUCCUGCCUGUAGUUUAUGUGUAUAUAUUUGGUUAUAUAUUUCUUCCUCUACCUUCUCUAGGAAAUAAUGAAUACAAGAAGUAGAAAAAGGUUUCCUGGAGAAGGUGGAAUUUGAGUUGGGGCUUGAGGGAAAGUCAGCGGGCAGAGUUGUGGAGAGAGAGCAUUGCAGGUCAAGAGAACAGCCAAAGAAAAUGCCCAGAGCCAAGAGAUGGGAGGGUGUUGUUUGAGGGAACAGCCCGAAGGCCAGUAUCCCUGGAUCAAAGAGAACCUGGUAGGGACUGUGAUAUAAGAAAACUGGAAAGGUAAAGGAGGGGUAGGUUAUAAAAGGCUUUGACUGCCAAAAAGAGGGCUUGUAUUUGAUCCUGGAGGCAAUAGGGAGCCACUGGAGUCUAUUGAGUAGGAGUGACAUGUUCAGACCUGCAUUUUAGGAAAAUCUCUUUAGUGGCUUAAUGGAGAAUGGAUUAGAAAGGGGAGAGUCCUGAGGCAGAUACAUCUACUGGCAGUCUAUUGCAGUAGUAGGUCUGAAGUGAUGGGGACUCGCCCAGAAAGGUAGCCAUGGCAGACUUCUGUUCAGAAGAUGUUGCAAAGGGGAAAUUAACUGGUCUUGACCACAGCUUUGGAUACAGAGGACAGGAGAGAUGUAGUGAGGACUCCAGGAUGUCUAGGGUGUGAGCCUGAGGGAGUGGGAGGAUGGGGGUGUUCUCUACAGUAAUAAGGAAGGUAGAGGAAGGGAAGGAGGGUUUAGGAGAAAAGGAUGAGUUCUGUUUUAGACAUGUUACGUUUAAGAUGCCUAUUGGACAUCCAGUUCAAGAUGUCAGAAAAGUAGAUGGAGAUGCCAUAUUUGAGAUCAGCAGAGAGCUUGGGACAGGAAAGGUAGAUGUUGAGAAUCAGCAUCCUAGAGAUAGUAAUUAAAUCCACUAGAGCUGAUGAAAUCACCAAGUGAAACGGUAUAGAGGCGGAAGAAAAUGGGGCUGAGAACUGAAACCCCAAGGAACACCUGUGGUUAUGGGGCAUGAUCUGCUGAGGGAUCCAGCAAAGGAGACUAAGAAGGAGCAGUCAGACAGGAAAAUCAGGAGAGAGAGGCGUCCCCAAAACCUAAGAGAGAAGAGAGUAUCAAGAAAGUGAUUAGCAAUGUACAAGACUAUAAAUAUGAAGGAGAAUGAAGAUUGGGAAAGGAUUUGGCAACUAAGAGAUCACCCAUCAUUUUGGAGAACAGUUUUGAUGGACUUAUAAGGGAGGAUAAGGCCGGAUUGUAAAGGUUUAAGAAGAGAAAAUCGAAACAGCUAUUGAAGAUGACUUUCCAAGUAGUUUUAACUAUAAUAAGUAGAAAAGAAGUAGGAUGAUGGUAGAAGGAUCAAGUAAGAGGUUGGAUUUUUGGAUUUAUUUUUUUCAGGAAGGAGAGACAGGGGCAUGUUUGUAGGCAGUGAGGAAUAAGCCAGUAGACAGGGAAAGAUUGAAGUAACUGGGAUGACAGAUGGGGCAGUCUAUUGGAGGAGAUGGGUUGGAAUGGAAAUACGUGCAGAGGUAGAAGGGGUUAGCCUUGGGAAGCAGGAAAAGUCACCUGAUCCUGUGAGACUGGAGUAGAAGAGGAAACAGUUACAGAAGGCAUCCAAGCGAUAGGAGAUGAAGAAGGGAGAAGAGGGAACUCACAGUAAUACAUUCACCAGUACCUCCACCUUGAUACUGCUCUAUAAACAUUUCUUAAACCCAGAAGGAGUGCAGUAUCAGGCUCAAGGAAGUCUGGAAGCUAAUAAAGAUGAUGAUGAUAAUCAUAAUAACUGACAUUUAUAUAACACUUUAAGGUUUGCAAAGCUCUUGAUAUUUGUGAUUUUAUUUAAGAUCUUAACACUCCUGGUGAUAUUCAAAAUAUUAAAGGAAAUUGAAGGAAAUCAGGAAGGACUUCAGGUAGAUAAAGUGGGUUCCCUUGAAGGUUAGCUUUGAAAGAAAUCAGACAUUCUAAGAAGCAGCUGUUAGGAGGAAGUGAAUUCCAGGCAUCGGAGGCAACCAAUUCAAAGUCAGAAAGACAGGAAAUGGAGUGUCAUGCAAGAAGAACAGCUAGAAUACCAAUUUGUUUAAAACAAAGUAUAUGCUAAGGGGAAUAAUGUAAUAAAAGCUGGAGAAGAGGUAGCUUGGGACCACAUUGUGAAAGACUGAAUGCAAAAUGAAAGACUUUGUUUGAUCUCAAAAUAGUAAGGAGUUUAAGUAGAAAAUAGCGAGCUCUGUACUUCAGGAAAAUCUUUUUGGCUGCUGCCUGGAGGAUAGGAAUGAAGUGGAGAUACUUGAGGCGGGGAGGCUAAUUAAAGGAUUGUUGUAAUAGCCCCAGGGAGAGGGGAUGAGAAGGGUCACCCCAUCCUUGGAGACUAAAGUGAAAGAGUGGGAGAGGAUGUGAGUGAGACCUGAGAGAUGGGGAGAAGAGGGAGCUCCUGGUUAAUGGCCUCGAUUUUUUUCCAGGAAGGAUGAGGUAAGAUCUACAGCAGAGCCAGUGGGAAAAGGGAGUAGCAAAGGAGACUUGAGGAGAGAAGGAAAAGUUUGAAAUCCCUGCUUUGGUGAAUGGGAAGGGGAAAAAAAAAAAGAACCAGGUUUACUUUCAUGGAGGAAAGAUCCAGUUGAGCUUCUCCAGCAUAAUCUGUGGUGAGCUAGUCAGCACAAUUUCCUCCGCAGAUGGUGGGAAUGAUCUCAGUUUGGGG